UUGGUUAAGUUAGAAAGGGCGCACGGUGGAUGCCUUGGCACUAGGAGCCGAAGAAGGACGGGACUAACACCGAUAUGCUUUGGGGAGCUGUACGUAAGCGUUGAUCCAGAGAUUUCCGAAUGGGGGAACCCACUAUCUUUAGUCGGAUAGUAUCCUUACGUGAAUACAUAGCGUGAGGAAGGCAGACCCAGGGAACUGAAACAUCUAAGUACCUGGAGGAAGAGAAAGAAAAAUCGAUUUCCUGAGUAGCGGCGAGCGAAACGGAAAGAGCCCAAACCAAGAAGCUUGCUUCUUGGGGUUGUAGGACACUCUAUACGGAGUUACAAAAGAAAGUUAUAAAUGAAGCGGUCUGGAAAGGCCCGCCAAAGACGGUAACAGCCCGGUAGUUGAAAUGGCUUUCCCUCCAGAGUGGAUCCUGAGUACGGCGGAACACGUGAAAUUCCGUCGGAAUCCGGGAGGACCAUCUCCCAAGGCUAAAUACUCCCUAGUGACCGAUAGUGAACCAGUACCGUGAGGGAAAGGUGAAAAGCACCCCGGAAGGGGAGUGAAACAGUUCCUGAAACCGUGUGCCUACAAGUAGUUAGAGCCCGUUAAUGGGUGAUAGCGUGCCUUUUGUAGAAUGAACCGGCGAGUUACGAUUUGUUGCAAGGUUAAGCGGAAAAAGCGGAGCCGUAGCGAAAGCGAGUCUGAAUAGGGCGCAUAAGUAACAGGUCGUAGACCCGAAACCAGGUGAUCUACCCAUGUCCAGGAUGAAGGUAAGGUAAUACUUACUGGAGGUCCGAACCCACGCACGUUGAAAAGUGCGGGGAUGAGGUGUGGGUAGCGGAGAAAUUCCAAUCGAACUUGGAGAUAGCUGGUUCUCUCCGAAAUAGCUUUAGGGCUAGCCUCGAGGUAAAGAGUCAUGGAGGUAGAGCACUGUUUGGACUAGGGGCCCUUCUCGGGUUACCGAAUUCAGAUAAACUCCGAAUGCCAUGUACUUAUACUCGGGAGUCAGACUGCGAGUGAUAAGAUCCGUAGUCGAAAGGGAAACAGCCCAGACCACCAGUUAAGGUCCCCAAAUAUAUGUUAAGUGGAAAAGGAUGUGGGGUUGCUUAGACAACCAGGAUGUUGGCUUAGAAGCAGCCACCAUUGAAAGAGUGCGUAAUAGCUCACUGGUCGAGUGACCCCGCGCCGAAAAUGUACCGGGGCUAAACAUAUUACCGAAACUGUGGAUGAACCUCUUUAGAGGUUCGUGGUAGGAGAGCGUUCUAAGGGCGGUGAAGUCAGACCGGAAGGACUGGUGGAGCGCUUAGAAGUGAGAAUGCCGGUAUGAGUAGCGAA
rnacentral:rRNA from 1 species